AUUUACUUCCUCCCCCUUUUUGGGUAAUGUACUAUUCAUUUACUAACCGAUUCAGGUAUGUAUUUAAUUGCCAUGAUUAUGUACGUGAAGUAUAAUAAAAGGAACAUUUCAUUCUCUGCAUUUCUUUCCCUGCCAUUACGGAUUUUUCUUUUAUUUCUUAUUUAUUUAUUUUAAGGAUUUUAAAAUCUUUAUUUAUUUGAGAGAGAGAGAGAGAGAGAGUUAGAGUGACAGAGAGACAGAGACAGAGAGAGAGAGAGAGAUCCUGAACAGGGGGGGCAGGUAGAGGGAGAAGCAGACUCCCACUGAGCAGGCAGCCCGAUGCGGGACUUGAUCUCAGGGCCCUGGGAUCAUGACCUGAGCCAAAGGCAGAUGCCUAAACAACCGAGCGACCCAGGCGCCUGGAUUUUUCUUUAAUUUCAUGAUAUUACUCAAACUAACUAUGUGCUAUGAUAGGGGAGUCGUUAAAAAAAAAGAAUCCACUCUGGCUGUGAAGCACAGGAGGCCACUGCCGGAGCAGGUACGGUAUUCUGGGAGCUUCUGUUCCCUCAAGAUAACAUUCACUCCUUCAGAGAGCAUAACAGUACAUCAUUUUGUAAUCACAGCACCAGCAUCGAUGCUACGGUUCUCCGGUUACUUGGUCACACUUGCAGCUGCUUCUCUUCCUGGCUGCACAAAGGGAGAGCUUGCUGAAUCCUUGGGAUGCAGGAAUUCCAGGAGCAAGUACCCAACUAUUACAGACCUCCACCGGUUACUAAGCAGGGCCUUUGGAGAUACAUUUCUAAUAACCCAGAUAGAGUGAAGAGCAGAGGUGUCCUUGGGGGUGAUCUCAGGGACACCAGAAGAUCCCUGCUUCUAAAACACCUCCACCACCUUCCUGGUGAUGAGUGAAUGAGGAAAAAUCUUGUCUACAGAGAGAGCACUUCCCAAGUGUCUGUUGACUACAAGUUGCUAAUAAUCAGUUUUUUCUCAAGAUUAAGUUUCUGAUGAAGGAAAAAAGGGGAAGAAAGAUGGGGGCCUGUAACUUUGAUUGGAGAGGAAAGAAAGAAAUUCGGGAGGGAGAAGGAAAGCUGUGCUGUUGCAGGUCCAUCCACGUUAGGGUCUUGGGGACAGGACAGCUCAGCAUGUGCAGCUGCCACUGAGGCUCGGGUGCCCAGAUCACUGGGGGGAUGUCAGCACACCUGGCUGGGUCUUUUUGGGUCCUUCCUCAGAGUCAUUCAGCUGGCAAAUCAGAGGGCAGCAGGGAGCCCUGUCCCCCCUUCCCAACACUUAUAAACCAAUAAUCCAGCGUUGAGUCUGGUGAAGGUGGGGAGAGUGGUGUUUGCUCUGGUUGCUCCUGUGGCAAAAGCCUAUACUAAGGUGUUCAGCAGCUUUAUUUUGGUGAUUUGUGUACAAUUAUAUCCAUCCCUUGGGUUUGUA
rnacentral:lncRNA from 1 species